rnacentral:rRNA from 1 species
GGAUGAACGCUGGCGGCGUGCUUAACACAUGCAAGUCGAACGGUGAACACGGAGCUUGCUCUGUGGGAUCAGUGGCGAACGGGUGAGUAACACGUGAGCAACCUGCCCCUGACUCUGGGAUAAGCGCUGGAAACGGCGUCUAAUACUGGAUACGAGCCACGACCGCAUGGUCAGUGGUUGGAAAGAAUUUUGGUUGGGGAUGGGCUCGCGGCCUAUCAGCUUGUUGGUGAGGUAAUGGCUCACCAAGGCGUCGACGGGUAGCCGGCCUGAGAGGGUGACCGGCCACACUGGGACUGAGACACGGCCCAGACUCCUACGGGAGGCAGCAGUGGGGAAUAUUGCACAAUGGGCGCAAGCCUGAUGCAGCAACGCCGCGUGAGGGAUGACGGCCUUCGGGUUGUAAACCUCUUUUAGCAGGGAAGAAGCGAAAGUGACGGUACCUGCAGAAAAAGCGCCGGCUAACUACGUGCCAGCAGCCGCGGUAAUACGUAGGGCGCAAGCGUUAUCCGGAAUUAUUGGGCGUAAAGAGCUCGUAGGCGGUUUGUCGCGUCUGCUGUGAAAUCCCGAGGCUCAACCUCGGGCCUGCAGUGGGUACGGGCAGACUAGAGUGCGGUAGGGGAGAUUGGAAUUCCUGGUGUAGCGGUGGAAUGCGCAGAUAUCAGGAGGAACACCGAUGGCGAAGGCAGAUCUCUGGGCCGUAACUGACGCUGAGGAGCGAAAGGGUGGGGAGCAAACAGGCUUAGAUACCCUGGUAGUCCACCCCGU